rnacentral:rRNA from 1 species
UACAGAGGGUGCAAGCGUUAUUCGGAAUUACUGGGCGUAAAGAGCGUGUAGGUGGUUCGAUAAGUCUGAUGUGAAAGCCCUGGGCUCAACCUAGGAAGUGCAUCGGAUACUGUCGGACUAGAGUAGAGGAGAGGAAAGCGGAAUUCCAGGUGUAGAGGUGAAAUUCGUAGAUAUCAGGAGGAACACCGAUGGCGAAGGCAGGUCUCUGGGCCAUAACUGACGCUGAGAAGCGAAAGCAUGGGGAGCGAACAGG